CCUACGGGAGGCAGCAGUCGGGAAUAUUGCACAAUGGAGGAAACUCUGACGCAGUGACGCCGCGUAUAGGAAGAAGGUUUUCGGAUUGUAAACUGUUGUCAUUAGGGAAGAUAACAGACUAUACCUAAUGAGGAAACCCCGGCUAACUAUGUUCCAGCAGCCGAGGUAAUACAUAUGGGGCAAGCGUUGUCCGGAAUUAUUGGGGGUAAAGGGUGCGUAGACGGAAGAACAAGUUGGUUGUGAAAUCCCUCGGGUCAACUGAGGAACUGCAACCAAUACUAUUCUCCUUGAGUGUCGGAGAGGAAAGCGGAAUUCCUAGUGUAGCGGUGAAAUGCGUAGAUAUUAGGAGGAACACCAGUGGCGAAGGCGACUUUCUGGACGAUAACUGACGUUGAGGCACGAAAGUGUGGGGAGCAAACAGGAUUAGAUACCCUGGUAGUC
rnacentral:rRNA from 1 species